rnacentral:snRNA from 1 species
GUGCUCACUUCAGCUGCACAUACUAAAAUUGGAAUGAUACAGAGAAGAUUAACGUGGCCCC